GCCUGGGUGGCUGAGUCGGUUAAGCAUCUAACUUCGGUUCAGGUCAUGAUCUUGCGGUUCGUGAGUUCGAGCCCCGCCUCAGGCU
rnacentral:tRNA from 1 species